rnacentral:rRNA from 1 species
AUUGAACGCUGGCGGCAGGCUUAACACAUGCAAGUCGAGCGAGCGGCGGCCGGGUGCGUAAUGUCUGGGAAACUGCCUGAUGGAGGGGGAUCACUACUGGAAACGGUAGCUAAUACCGCAUACCAUCAGAUGUGCCCAGAUUGGAUUAGCUAGUAGGUGGGGUAAUGGCUCACCUAGGCGACGAUCCCUAGCUGGUCUGAGAGGAUGACCAGCCCCACUGGAACUGAGACACGUGCCAGACUCCUACAAGAGGCAUCAGUGGGGAAGAUUGCACAAUGGGCGCAAGCCUGAUGCAGCCAUGCCGCGUGUGUGAAGAAGGCCUUCGGGUUGUAAAGCACUUUCAGCGAGGAGGCGUUACUCGCAGAAGAAGCACCGGCUAACUACGUGCCAGCAGCCGCGGUAAUUC